rnacentral:rRNA from 1 species
CCCUUAGAGUUUGAUCCUGGCUCAUAAUGAACGUUGGCGGCGUGGAUUAGGCAUGCAAGUCGAGCGAGAACCCGCAAGGGGGACAGCGGCAAACGGGGUAGGAACGCGUAGGUUACGUACCCUCAGGUCGGGGAUAGCCACGGGGAACUGUGGGUAAUACCCGAUAACGUCGAGAGACCAAAGGUGUGAUUCCACCUGGGGAGCGGCCUGCGUAGUAUUAGCUUGUUGGUGAGGUAAUGGCUCACCAAGGCGAAGAUGCUUAGGGGGUGUGAGAGCAUGGCCCCCACCACUGGGACUGAGAUACUGCCCAGACACCUACGGGUGGCUGCAGUCGAGAAUCUUCGGCAAUGGGCGCAAGCCUGACCGAGCGACGCCGCGUGUGGGAUGAAGGCCCUUGGGUUGUAAACCACUGUCAGAGGGGAUGAAAUGCCAGAGAGCUAUCUCUUUGGUUUGACAUAGCCUCAGAGGAAGCACGGGCUAAGUUCGUGCCAGCAGCCGCGGUAAUACGAACUGUGCAAACGUUAUUCGGAAUCACUGGGCUUAAAGGGUGCGUAGGCGGCUUGUUAAGUAGGGUGUGAAAUCCCCCGGCUCAACCGGGGAAUUGCGCCCUAAACUGGCGAGCUGGAGUGAGAUAGGGGUGUGUGGAACUUCCAGUGGAGCGGUGAAAUGUGUUGAUAUUGGAAGGAACGCCAGUGGCGAAAGCGACACACUGGGUCUCAACUGACGCUGAGGCACGAAAGCCAGGGGAGCAAACGGGAUAGAUACCCCGGUAGUCCUGGCCGUAACGAUGAGCACUA